rnacentral:rRNA from 1 species
AGAGUUUGAUCCUGGCUCAGGACGAACGCUGGCGGCGUGCUUAACACAUGCAAGUCGAACGGAAAGGUCUCUUCGGAGAUACUCGAGUGGCGAACGGGUGAGUAACACGUGGGUGAUCUGCCCUGCACUUCGGGAUAAGCCUGGGAAACUGGGUCUAAUACCGGAUAGGACCACGGGAUGCAUGUCUUGUGGUGGAAAGCGCUUUAGCGGUGUGGGAUGAGCCCGCGGCCUAUCAGCUUGUUGGUGGGGUGACGGCCUACCAAGGCGACGACGGGUAGCCGGCCUGAGAGGGUGUCCGGCCACACUGGGACUGAGAUACGGCCCAGACUCCUACGGGAGGCAGCAGUGGGGAAUAUUGCACAAUGGGCGCAAGCCUGAUGCAGCGACGCCGCGUGGGGGAUGACGGCCUUCGGGUUGUAAACCUCUUUCACCAUCGACGAAGGUCCGGGUUCUCUCGGAUUGACGGUAGGUGGAGAAGAAGCACCGGCCAACUACGUGCCAGCAGCCGCGGUAAUACGUAGGGUGCGAGCGUUGUCCGGAAUUACUGGGCGUAAAGAGCUCGUAGGUGGUUUGUCGCGUUGUUCGUGAAAUCUCACGGCUUAACUGUGAGCGUGCGGGCGAUACGGGCAGACUAGAGUACUGCAGGGGAGACUGGAAUUCCUGGUGUAGCGGUGGAAUGCGCAGAUAUCAGGAGGAACACCGGUGGCGAAGGCGGGUCUCUGGGCAGUAACUGACGCUGAGGAGCGAAAGCGUGGGGAGCGAACAGGAUUAGAUACCCUGGUAGUCCACGCCGUAAACGGUGGGUACUAGGUGUGGGUUUCCUUCCUUGGGAUCCGUGCCGUAGCUAACGCAUUAAGUACCCCGCCUGGGGAGUACGGCCGCAAGGCUAAAACUCAAAGGAAUUGACGGGGGCCCGCACAAGCGGCGGAGCCAUGUGGAUUAAUUCGAUGCAACGCGAAGAACCUUACCUGGGUUUGACAUGCACAGGACGCGUCUAGAGAUAGGCGUUCCCUUGUGGCCUGUGUGCAGGUGGUGCAUGGCUGUCGUCAGCUCGUGUCGUGAGAUGUUGGGUUAAGUCCCGCAACGAGCGCAACCCUUGUCUCAUGUUGCCAGCACGUAAUGGUGGGGACUCGUGAGAGACUGCCGGGGUCAACUCGGAGGAAGGUGGGGAUGACGUCAAGUCAUCAUGCCCCUUAUGUCCAGGGCUUCACACAUGCUACAAUGGCCGGUACAAAGGGCUGCGAUGCCGCGAGGUUAAGCGAAUCCUUAAAAGCCGGUCUCAGUUCGGAUCGGGGUCUGCAACUCGACCCCGUGAAGUCGGAGUCGCUAGUAAUCGCAGAUCAGCAACGCUGCGGUGAAUACGUUCCCGGGCCUUGUACACACCGCCCGUCACGUCAUGAAAGUCGGUAACACCCGAAGCCAGUGGCCUAACCCUCGGGAGGGAGCUGUCGAAGGUGGGAUCGGCGAUUGGGACGAAGUCGUAACAAGGUAGCCGUACCGGAAGGUGCGGCUG